rnacentral:rRNA from 1 species
GACGAACGCUGGCGGCGUGCUUAACACAUGCAAGUCGAACGAUGAAGCCCAGCUUGCUGGGUGGAUUAGUGGCGAACGGGUGAGUAACACGUGAGCAACGUGCCCGAGACUCUGGAAUAACUACCGGAAACGGUGGCUAAUACGGGAUAUGUGCCAGGGAGGCAUCUCCUCUGGUUGGAAAGAUUUUUCGGUUUCGGAUCGGCUCACGGCCUAUCAGCUUGUUGGUGGGGUAAUGGCCUACCAAGGCGACGACGGGUAGCCGGCCUGAGAGGGUGACCGGCCACACUGGGACUGAGACACGGCCCAGACUCCUACGGGAGGCAGCAGUGGGGAAUAUUGCACAAUGGGCGCAAGCCUGAUGCAGCAACGCCGCGUGAGGGAUGACGGCCUUCGGGUUGUAAACCUCUUUUAGUAGGGAAGAAGCGCAAGUGACGGUACCUGCAGAAAAAGCACCGGCUAACUACGUG